GCUGGGAUCAUAGACCUAGCAAUCUUUAUGUGUGCUAUUACAAUUUAACUCUUGGUGUGUCGUGUAGCAACCCUAUUUCUGUAGAAUAAUUUUUUAAGCACGAUUCUGACCAAAGAAUUAAAAUGGCCAAAAGUAUUUACCUCACUGUCGCGUUUUGCCUAACCCUGUUGGCUGUUCCUUCAGUGCCACAACGUUCAUACUGUGAAGAACUGUUAUGUACCUAUUCUUACAAUGACCUCUGCAAAAACGGCGGUGCCCGGAACUGUCCCAUCUUAAGACACGGCUGCAGGAGCAGAUUAACCUUCUUCCUCAACAAGUCAAGAUGCGUUGGCAGAGAUCGAAGCUGAAGAAUAAAUUCAGACGGGUCCUUGAACCGCUUCAUGUUACGUCAAAGAUUUCUGAGGACUGAAAGUGUUGACGUUCGUAUCUUACGUAAAACUGUUAUAUUGCAUCGCCG